AGUGAACGCUGGCGGUAGGCCUAACACAUGCAAGUCGAACGGCAGCACAGUAAGAGCUUGCUCUUACGGGUGGCGAGUGGCGGACGGGUGAGGAAUACAUCGGAAUCUACUUUUUCGUGGGGGAUAACGUAGGGAAACUUACGCUAAUACCGCAUACGACCUACGGGUGAAAGCAGGGGAUCUUCGGACCUUGCGCGAUUGAAUGAGCCGAUGUCGGAUUAGCUAGUUGGCGGGGUAAAGGCCCACCAAGGCGACGAUCCGUAGCUGGUCUGAGAGGAUGAUCAGCCAAACGGGAACUAAGACACGGUCCAGACCCCUACGGGAGGCAGCGGGGGGGAAUAUUGGACAAGGGGCGCAAGCCUGAUCCAGCCAUACCGGGUGGGUGAAGAAGGCCUUCGGGUUGUAAAGCCCUUUUGUUGGGAAAGAAAAGCAGCAGGUUAAUACCCCGCUGCUCUGACGGUACCAAAAAAAUAAGCACCGGCUAACUUCGU
rnacentral:rRNA from 1 species